GGGGGCAUAGCUCAGUUGGGAGAGCAGCAGACUGAAGACACUGUCUUUCUGAAGGUCCCGCGUUCAAUCCGCGGUGCCCCCA